UCUGCUGUGAAAACGCGAGGCUUAACCUCGCGCCUGCAGUGGGUACGGGCAGGCUAGAGUGCGGUAGGGGAGACUGGAAUUCCUGGUGUAGCGGUGGAAUGCGCAGAUAUCAGGAGGAACACCGAUGGCGAAGGCAGGUCUCUGGGCCGUUACUGACGCUGAGGAGCGAAAGCAUGGGGAGCGAACAGGAUUAGAUACCCUGGUAGUCCAUGCCGUAAACGUUGGGCACUAGGUGUGGGACCCAUUCCACGGGUUCCGUGCCGCAGCUAACGCAUUAAGUGCCCCGCCUGGGGAGUACGGCCGCAAGGCUAAAACUCAAAGGAAUUGACGGGGGCCCGCACAAGCGGCGGAGCAUGCGGAUUAAUUCGAUGCAACGCGAAGAACCUUACCAAGGCUUGACAUACACCGGAAACAUCCAGAGAUGGGUGCCCCGCAAGGUCGGUGUACAGGUGGUGCAUGGUUGUCGUCAGCUCGUGUCGUGAGAUGUUGGGUUAAGUCCCGCAACGAGCGCAACCCUUGUCCUGUGUUGCCAGCACGUAGUGGUGGGGACUCAUAGGAGACUGCCGGGGUCAACUCGGAGGAAGGUGGGGAUGACGUCAAAUCAUCAUGCCCCUUAUGUCUUGGGCUUCACGCAUGCUACAAUGGCCGGUACAAAGGGCUGCGAUACCGCAAGGUGGAGCGAAUCCCAAAAAGCCGGUCUCAGUUCGGAUUGGGGUCUGCAAC
rnacentral:rRNA from 1 species